rnacentral:rRNA from 1 species
GACGAACGCUGGCGGCGUGCUUAACACAUGCAAGUCGAACGGAAAGGCCCUGCUUUUGUGGGGUGCUCGAGUGGCGAACGGGUGAGUAACACGUGAGUAACCUGCCCUUGACUUUGGGAUAACUUCAGGAAACUGGGGCUAAUACCGGAUAGGAGCUCCUGCUGCAUGGUGGGGGUUGGAAAGUUUCGGCGGUUGGGGAUGGACUCGCGGCUUAUCAGCUUGUUGGUGGGGUAGUGGCUUACCAAGGCUUUGACGGGUAGCCGGCCUGAGAGGGUGACCGGCCACAUUGGGACUGAGAUACGGCCCAGACUCGUACGGGAGGCAGCAGUGGGGAAUAUUGCACAAUGGGCGGAAGCCUGAUGAAGCAACGCCGCGUGCGGGAUGACGGCCUUCGGGUUGUAAACCGCUUUCGCCUGUGACGAAGCGUGAGUGACGGUAAUGGGUAAAGAAGCACCGGCUAACUACGUG